GCCGGAGGCAGCCACCAACUCCUCUCAACUUCUGCAGAUCGGCUGGGCGAAGCAACACGCUUCCUGCGCGUCUCUCCUAGGGGCUGAGCCGGGAGAACCUCACGUGUGGCCUGGGCUCACAUAUGGCCACGGCACGCUGCAGUGAAUCCAUGGCUCCUCAGGAAUCAGGCCACAGACGCGAUCCAUCACCACCUCAUGGCAGCUCACCCAGCAGUGUUCUUAGUGUCUUCUGGGCCAAAUGGGAGCCACGCCAAGGCUGCAGCAGCCAGCUAGCUACCUGGCUGAGCCUCCAUGCAGCCCCACACCUGGGCAGUUCUCCUGCACAAAAGCCUCUGCAGUCCUAUUUCUCCCUAAUGCAAGGGCCAGUUAUUUCUUAAAUUACAUCCCAAAGGACAACUUGCCAGAGUGUCACCAGCACCUGCAGAGUUUGGGUUCCUUUUCCCUUUCCUUUGGCCAUUAAAACCAGAAUGUUAUUUCUUUCUUGC